UUCCGGUUGAUCCUGCCGGAGGUUACUGCUAUCGAGGUUCGACUAAGCCAUGCGAGUCGAAUGCCGCAAGGCAUGGCGUACUGCUCAGUAACACGUGGACAACCUACCCUUAGGACUGGGAUAACCCCGGGAAACUGGGAAUAAUCCCCGAUAGUCCUCGAAGGCUGGAAUGCAUCGAGGGCGAAAGCUCCGGCGCCUAAGGAUGGGUCUGCGGCCUAUCAGGUAGUAGUGGGUGUAGCGUACCUACUAGCCUACGACGGGUACGGGUUGUGAGAGCAAGAGCCCGGAGAUGGAUUCUGAGACACGAAUCCAGGCCCUACGGGGUGCAGCAGGCGCGAAAACUUUACAAUGCUGGCAACAGCGAUAAGGGAACCUCGAGUGCCAGGUUACAAAUCUGGCUGUCGAGAUGCCUAAAAAGCAUUUCAUAGCAAGGGCCGGGCAAGACCGGUGCCAGCCGCCGCGGUAACACCGGCGGCUCGAGUGGUAACCGUUAUUAUUGGGUCUAAAGGGUCUGUAGCCGGCCGGAUAAGUCUCUUGGGAAAUCUGGCA
rnacentral:rRNA from 1 species